CCAGCGGAGGGAUCAUUACCGAGUUUACAACUCCCAAACCCAAUGUGCUCCAUACCAAACUGUUGCCUCGGCGGGGUCACGCCCCGGGUGCGUCGCAGCCCCGGAACCAGGCGCCCGCCGGAGGGACCAACCAAACUCUUUCUGUAGUCCCCUCGCGGACGUUAUUUCUUACAGCUCUGAGCAAAAAUUCAAAAUGAAUCAAAACUUUCAACAACGGAUCUCUUGGUUCUGGCAUCGAUGAAGAACGCAGCGAAAUGCGAUAAGUAAUGUGAAUUGCAGAAUUCAGUGAAUCAUCGAAUCUUUGAACGCACAUUGCGCCCGCCAGUAUUCUGGCGGGCAUGCCUGUCCGAGCGUCAUUUCAACCCUCGAACCCCUCCGGGGGGUCGGCGUUGGGGAUCGGGAACCCCUAAGACGGGAUCCCGGCCCCGAAAUACAGUGGCGGUCUCGCCGCAGCCUCUCCUGCGCAGUAGUUUGCACAACUCGCACCGGGAGCGCGGCGCGUCCACGUCCGUAAAACACCCAACUUCUGAAAUGUUGACCUCGGAUCAGGUAGGAAUACCCGCUGAACUUAAGCAUAUC
rnacentral:rRNA from 1 species